CCUACGGGAGGCAGCAGUGGGGAAUAUUGGACAAUGGGGGUAACCCUGAUCCAGCCAUGCCGCGUGUGUGAAGAAGGCCCUCGGGUUGUAAAGCACUUUCAGUGAGGAAGAACGCCUGGUGGUUAAUACCCAUCAGGAAAGACAUCACUCACAGAAGAAGCACCGGCUAACUCCGUGCCAGCAGCCGCGGUAAUACGGAGGGUGCGAGCGUUAAUCGGAAUUACUGGGCGUAAAGCGCGCGUAGGUGGCUUGAUAAGCCGGUUGUGAAAGCCCCGGGCUCAACCUGGGAACGGCAUCCGGAACUGUCAAGCUAGAGUGCAGGAGAGGAAGGUAGAAUUCCCGGUGUAGCGGUGAAAUGCGUAGAGAUCGGGAGGAAUACCAGUGGCGAAGGCGGCCUUCUGGACUGACACUGACACUGAGGUGCGAAAGCGUGGGUAGCAAACAGGAUUAGAUACCCUAGUAGUC
rnacentral:rRNA from 1 species